rnacentral:lncRNA from 1 species
AUUUUUUGUCAUGUAUUGGGCAAAAUCAUGCACUAUAUCAUGCAUCUUGAAUUUCAUUCCCUCAUCGUAAUCCGUCUCAAAAUCUUGGAAGAAAGAGCGCGCUGCUAAGACUUGAAAGUACUGCUCUCCUACAAGCUCCAUAUCUCCACCUGAAGUCUCCUUGAGGUAACCUUGAGCCAUCCACAUCUUCACCAAUUCAUAUUUUCCCAUCUCGUAGUCUUUUGGAAACAUGGCACAAUACAAGAAACAUCGUCUUACCACAGAAGGUAAAUCAUAGUAACUCAAAAGCAAAGGUAUAAAUAUUUGUCUUUCAACCUGAUCUCUAUCAACCUCAUCUAGCCUCCACAAUUCGCUAGAUAAAACACGCUCCCACUCUUCUCUUGUUAUUUUAGACUGCAUUAGACCUCCUAAUACCUUGGCAGCUAGAGGCAAGCCCUUGCACUUGUUUGCAAUUUUAUCGCCGAUAUCUGUCAAUCUUUCGCGCUCAUCUUUGCUUCUUUCCUGGAAUGCCACAUGAUUGAAUAUUGACCUGCAUAUCUUAUCAGACAAUUUCUCAAUGUUGAUCCGGUGGUCAGUUCCCAUCAUCGUUGCCACAGCGUCCUUACGAGUGGUCACUAGAAUUCUGCUUCCAGGUGCACCGCCUUUGAGAGAUAGUUUCAGUGGUUCCCACUGUCCAUGAUUUUCUGUCCAGACAUCAUCUAGGACAAGAAGGAACCUCUUUCCCUUAAUGGAUUCAGAAACCCUUUGCAUAAGGGAUUGCAAUUCAACCAAAUCGGGUGCCCUCCCUUCAAGCUGCUCAAGGAUACCUUUGGCUAUUCUAACCUCAUCAAAUGGUUCUGAAACACACACCCAUAUCUUUUUCUCAAAAUGAGCCGUAACCUCAGCAUCAUUAAAAGCUAGUUGUGAAAAGAAUGAUAUCUUUUGUAUUAUGUUACAGAGUAAACAAAGGUUACAAUUUAUACUAAUGGCUUGAUACAAAGAGCCUACAUUAAAGCCUACGAUCAGACCUAAUUAUCACAGAAUAAGGAAACAAAUAAGUGAAGAUUCAAUUACAGUAUUUGACAGACUUGAUUUCCUAUUCUGUGAUUGAUUUCCUAUGCUGUGCUUGGUUUCCUUUAACACUCCUCCUCAAGUUGGAGUGUAUGUUAAUUACACCCAACUUGCUAAGUAAGGUCUCAAACUGUGUGGAGCUUAAUGGUUUAGUAAACAAGUCAGCCGGUUGGUUUGUAGUCCGUAUGUAGGUUGUUUGAAUCAUUCCUGCUUGAAUUUUCUCACGUAUCAAAUGACAGUCUAUUUCUAUGUGCUUGGUUCGCUCAUGAAAGACUGGAUUCGAUGCUAUGUGCAUUGCUGCUUGGUUAUCACAAAAUUAAGGUUACCGGUUGUGUGUGAUUUAUCUGCAAGUCCUUCAAAAUAUUUUUCAGCCAUGUAAUUUCGCAGCAUGUAGUAGCCAUGGAGCGAUAUUCUGCCUCUGCACUUGAACGUGAUAUUGUUGUCUGUUUCUUACUCCUCCAUGAAACUGGUGCUUCUCCAAGUAAAAUGCAGUAACCAGUAACUGAUCUUCUUGUGUCCUUACAACGAGCCCAAUCAGCAUCAUAAAAUGCUCGUAACUGAAGUGAACCUGUGGACGGCAAAAAGAUGCCUUGCCCAGGUGUUUGUUUGAUAUAUUUGAGCACUUUAUAAGCUGCAUCCAGGUGUGGUUGGCGGGGCUUAUCCAUGAACUGACUAAGGAUGUGCACAGCAUAAGUCAAGUCUGGUCUAGUUAUUGUAAGAUAGAGUAACCUGCCAACUAACCUCCUGUAUGUUGAUCCAUCUUCCAAAAGCUUUCCAUCGGAUUGUGUUAGAGACACAUUUUGCUCCAAAGGAAACCGAGAUGGCUUGACACCCAAAAACCCUGCAUCAUCCAAAAUCUCGAGUGCAUAUUUUCUCUGUGACAAACUAAUGCCAUGUCGUGAUUUGGCAACCUCGAUGCCAAGGAAGUAUUUAAGUUGCCCCAAGUCCUUAAGUUUGAAUUGUUUGGACAAGAAGAGUUUGGUGUUCUCUAUGUCCUGCAAAUUAUUCCCAGCUAAUAUCACAUCAUCAACAUAUAUCAGUAAUGCUAGAAAGUUACCAUGCUGGCUUCGGACGAACAAGGAAUAAUCAGAUAGGGACUGAUGGAAUCCUGCAGCCUUGAGUGCACCGGACAGUUUGAUAAACCACUGUCUAGAGGCUUGUUUUAAGCCAUACAGGGAUUUAUGAAGUUUGCAAACGCGUGUCUCCCCCUUUCAUCCGAAGCCAGGAGGCAAAGUCAUGUAGACGUCCUCAUCCAAGUCACCAUGCAAGAAUGCAUUGUUGACAUCAAGCUGAUGUAAAUGCCAACCACGCAAAGCUGCCACACUAAGUAAGAGGCGGACAUUGACCAUCUUGGCUACGGGAGCAAAGGUUUCCUGAUAAUCAACACCUGCAACUUGGCUGUAGCCCUUGGCCACCAGUCGUGCCUUAUAGCGUUCCACUGUCCCAUCAGCUUUCAACUUGAUUUUGUAUACCCAUUUGCAGCCGAUCGGCCGUUUGUGGGAUGGUAAAGGUACCAAACUCCAAGUCUCAGUGGCCUGUAAAGCAGAUAUCUCAUGGUGCAUGGCCUCACGCCACUGAGGAUGUUGAACAGCCUGUGAAAAACUGGUAGGUUCUUUGAGGAGAGUGAGUUGAGCAGUAUAAGCUUUGUGAUGAGGAGAAAGGUGAGUGUAAGAUAAAUAGGCAGAGAGGGGAUAAGCAGUACCUGAAGUGUGAACCAUGUUCGUGGAUGAUGUCGGGUCAGGCCUUGAAGGGAGAGUCAUGGCGAGAUGGAAAUCCUGCAAGUAAGAAGGAGUGGUGAUAGAACGACUGCCACGACGAAGAGUAGGAAUGGGCACAGGUGAGGAGGUGUUCAGUAUGGGAGAAAAAUCGGGUAGUGGACUAUCAGUAGGACUGGCUGAAUGUGGGGACUCUGUGAGAGGAGCUAGAGGAGUGGAUGAGGUGGUGGAUGGAUGGGUCUGGGAAUUGGGUGAGCUAGGAAAGGUAGGAUUGGGAAGCAGAGAAGGGGGUUCAAAGUGUAUGUCGAAAGGUAUGGAUGGAGUGGGAGUGGGCGUGGGAGGUGAUAAUGAUGGGAUAUUGGUAUGUGAUGCAGAUGUAAUAAAGGGAAAUGUAGAUUCAAAGAAGACGACAUCCCUAGAGACAAGUGUUCGUUGUGUAGCUAGAUCAAAAACUCUAUACCCCUUUUUCCCAUAAGGAUAGCCAAGAAAAAUACACUGAGAUGCUCGAGGAUCAAAUUUUGAGCGAUUUUGGGCAUGGGUGGAAACAAAAAAUAAGCAACCAAAUACUCGUAAGUGUGAGUAAUUGGGAACUUUGUUGAAGAGUUUUUCAUAUGGUGUUUUUCCAUGGAGAAUGGGGGUUGGUGUUCGAUUUAUGAGAUAAGCGGAAGCAAGAAUAGCGUCACCCCAAAAUUGGUGAGGAAGGUCGGCUUGAAGAAGUAAAGCACGUGCCAUAUUUAACAAAUGCCUAUGUUUGCGUUCGGCAACGCCAUUUUGUUGUGGAGUAUUAAUGCAACUGGUUUGAUGAAUAAUACCUUUGUGAGCGUAAAAGCUGUCAAGUUUGAAUUCAAGACCAUUAUCACUACGAAUCAUUUUGACUUUGGAAUCAAAUUGGUUUUCAGCCAUGUUGAUGAAAUUGACUAGAAGACCCCUAGUGUCAGAUUUGUGUUUCAUAAGAUAAAUCCAUGUGCAUCUAGUAUGAUCAUCAACGAUAGUAAGAAAAUAUUUGGCACCUGAAAUAGAAGGAAUUUUAUAACCACCCCAAAUGUCAACAUGGAUUAAAUCAAAUGAAGAUAUGGUAGUAAUGGAACUUGAAGAAAAUGGAAGUCUGGUUUGUUUUGCUAACGGACAAAUACAACACUUGUCGUUAGAGCAAGAAUUAACUUUAGGAAAUAAUGGAGAGACUUUGGUUGAGGGAUGCCCAAGACGUUGAUGCCAAAGGUUCGGGUUAGAAUUUUUGGCAUGGUUGCAGGUUCCUUUCUUGGCUUGGUCGAGAAAGUAGAGACCCUCCCGUUCAAUUCCCGUCCCAAUCAUCUUCCCCGAACGUAGGUCCUGAAUCACACAAAAUUGGCUUAGAAAAAUGGUGAUGCAAGAAGAAUCAAAUGCUAGUUUGCUAAUGGAAAUUAAAUUCAAUCGGAAAUAUAGGACACAUAAGACAUUAUCAAGGAUCAAAUCAGGAGAUAGAUGAACUCUGCCUAUGUGAGUUACUUGUGCUAUUGAUCCAUUCGGUAAUUCAACAGUGCGGCCAUUAACCGGUCUUGAGUAUGUGAGCAGAUUUUGGUCAUAAAUCAUAUGAUCUGUGCACCCACUAUCCAAAAUCCAUGUACUUCUGUUGCCAUUAGAGAAGAGUGAAAAAGCUUUACCUGAGAGCUCAUCAUGAGUUGGACAGUUACUAACAUGGUUGGCAGAGGAUGUUUUGGUUUUUAACAUGCUGAGUAUCUGUUUGCACUCGUCAGGUGUGAAAGGAAAAUUCAUCUCCUUCCUCUCAUUCGUAUGGGAUGCAACUUGAUUUCCCUUGGAAAUCGCCAUAUUAAAUUCAGCUUCAGUUACUGCUUUCUUCUUGCGACAAUACUCGGCUGUAUGUCCCUUCCAGCGGCAGAAAGUGCAUCUGAGAUGUGCACGACAAUCCUUGGUGUUGUGAUUUGUUCUAUUGCAUCUUGAGCAUCUCUGUUCAGUUUCAGUCUCAUGGCUUAAAUUCUUUACGGCAAAGGCAUCAGCCUCUGGUUGAGCAGGACUUUUCCCAGUUGUCACUUCUGAUUGUUUUUCAUGACGAAGAACCAGUGAGUAUGCCUUGUUGAUUGUUGGUAAUGGAUCCUGCAACAGAGUGUUGCUACGAACACCCACAUAUGAAUCACUAAGACCCAUGAGAAAUUUCAUGGUUUUCUGUGUGUCCAGGUAUGCAGCCACUUCCUUGACUGAUCCACAAGUGCAUGUUGGAAAGGUGCAUAGUGCAUCACGCUCAUCCCAUAAACCUUUCAGUUUUGUGAAGUAGGAUCCCACAGACAUGCUGCCCUGCACACAGUUGUGAAUUUCAUUCUCAAUGUUAAAUAACUGAACCACAUUCACAUGUGAGAAUCUUUCCUUUAAAUCAAGCCACAUUUGUCUGGCAUCCUUGCAGUUGAUGACGCUAGCUGCAAUAUCUUUGGACAUAGAUCCCAGCAGCCAAGUUUUAACCAAACUGUUGCACCGAUUCCAUUGUUGAUGCUCAUCUGGUUUCUUCUCAUCAGGCUCCUUCAUUGAGCCAUCUAUAAAUCCAAUCUUGUUUUUAACUGUCAGAGCCAUAGUCAUGGAUUGGCUCCAUGUGCUGUAGUUGUCUUCAACCAAAGGUUGUGGCACAAGAACAGCGCCAGGUUGAUCUGAAUGGUGAAGGUAAAGCUGGUGAUUGGGAUGAUCCCAUCUUGCUCCUGAAGACAUGCUUCCUUGGUUUUCGUUUCCCAUGGAAGUUGGCUAAAGGGUUUAUGUUUUAUUUUGAUACCUAGAUUAAUUGCUCUGAUACCAUGAAAAGAAUGAUAUCUUUUGUAUUAUGUUACAGAGUAAACAAAGGUUACAAUUUAUACUAAUGGCUUGAUACAAAGAGCCUACAUUAAAGCCUACGAUCAGACCUAAUUAUCACAGAAUAAGGAAACAAAUAAGUGAAGAUUCAAUUACAGUAUUUGACAGACUUGAUUUCCUAUUCUGUGAUUGAUUUCCUAUGCUGUGCUUGGUUUCCUUUAACAAGUUGGGCGAGAGUUGUUUUUCCAAUUCCGCCCAGCCCUACUACAGAGAUGACAUCCACGUCCCGUGCUUCUUGACUACUUUCAGCCAGCAACUUGCUUACAACAUUUCUCUUUUCACCAUCUCGACCAAUCACACUUGAUUCAUCAACAAAGGAGGUAGUUGUUAGCCGCUGGAGUUCAUCAGUGGCUUUGUACAGAUCAAAGCCAUACUUAGCUCUCUCUUUGGCAAUGUCAUCCACUUUUUCACUAACUUCUUUGAUCUUCCGGGCAAUGUCGCGACGUCGAACCACUUGAUUGAAACAAAAGCAAGGAGAUCCCAGGAAGGAACACCGUAUCUUCUGUCGGCUGUGAGUAUUUUCAGCUUCCUCCAUUUUCCAUCGAAGAAUUGCAGUGCUCCAUUCAUCUAGCACGUCAUCCAUAUCAUAACAUGCAUCUUUGAGCUUGUCUAGCCAAUCUCUUACAGCCUUAUCCCUCACUUGUUUUCUAUCUGCAUCUUCAAGGACAGAUUGGAUAUCAAGGAGAUUGCUUUUCAGCUUGUCACAUUGUUUCUUCACAUCCACUACUAGGUUCACCUCUUCUUGUACCUAUUAGUGUACAGAUGAAAAGAAACGUUAAGCAUAGGAAACAUUUCUAUGAUUUCAAUACAAAUUCUUAAUUUUUAGCAAUUAAUAGAUUAAAUCAUUUUUAUUAAACUUUUUCACAGUAGCAAUUAAUAUAUUUAUAUUGUUAAUUAUAUUCAAAUUAUAUAUAAUAACUCUCUAAAAUAAAAUGACUCGUAAAUAAUGUAAUGCUAAGCCACUAUUAUUGCACUAAAAUUUACUAGAUGCGUGAAUUAAAAUAUAUUUUAUUUGAAUAAAGGAUUUCUUUAGAUAAAAAGAUAGAAUUCAUAGAUAUUAUAAUUGUGGAGCGCAAUAUAUACAUUGCAAUUUCACAAUAUUUUUAGGUGACUUUUAAUAAUUAUCAUAGUCUAUUUUUUAAAAUAUUCUGUGAGGUUGAUCAAAAUAAAAAAGAAAUAUUAAUUAGAAUUUCUAUAAUCAUGUUUGUAAUCGAAUAUUUGACUAUAUUUAUUUUAAUCAUUUUAUCAUACUAAUUUUAUUUCAAAUAUAGUUAUUUAUGCAUUCAAAUAUGAUAAGGAAUUAUUAAAAAAGGAAUUUACUACUAUUUUACUAUAUUGAUUUGUUCUAACCAGCCAUCACAAUAACCAUAUUUUGUAUAGCACAAAAGAUAUAAAUAAAAAGAAAGAGAAUCGUAAGAACCCGCUAUCUUGUAAAAAUAAUAUACAUACAUACAUACAUACAUAUAUAUAUAUAUAUAUAUAUAUAUAUAUAUAUAUAUUAACUAAUUUAUUUGAUCACAUGCAAUGUGAUAAUAUAUAAAUCAAGCUACUGAUUUAGCUUCUGACAAAUUAACAGAUAUUCUAUAAGAUAAUGAAAUCAAUGUAUAAUGAACUAUAAAUGUUAGGUUAAUUGCAAAAUUGUAGAAAAGUAAUUAAGUACCUGUUGAUUAUAAAAAAAAGAAAAAAAAAAAAGAAACAAACAAAAAAGAGUACCUGUCGAGCAACGAUCGUGGUUAACUGCUCCAAAAUUGGGGAUACAAGUGCGUCAGCCAUUGUUGUUCUUACUACUGAAUGUGUCAAGAAAAAGGAGAGAAAGUAAUGGGGCGUUGUUGACUGAUGAAAUGAGAAGUUGAUGAAGAUAGGAAGGAUAGUGAUCUACUCUGUGGAGUGCCAGAGAAAAUUAAUUUGAGGUUAUUCUCCAUGAAGUUUAGGCAAUAUAUACUGCAAAUUAAGAUCAUUUGCUUAAGACUGGGGUUAGAGUAUGAUUCUGAACUUCAGUAUAAAGCAACUAAUUUCCUUCAAGGUUGAUGCAAGCAAAGAAUGUUACUGAAACAAUGAGAAAAUAUGUGUAACAAGGAAAAGGAAAAGGCAAAGGCAAAGGCAAGUCUAGAAUUAGCCAUUGCUUCACUUUGGGUUCAAGUAUAAUGCAUCAGUCAUUUUUUUAUUUGCAUGGUUAUGGUUAUAAGAUCACGGUAAUUCUGUAAAAAAUAAAUUAAAAUAAAUUAUUUUAGAAAUAAGUUUCUUGUUGUAAUUAAAUUGCAAAAAAUAGUUAGGAUAAAAUUUAAGAUAAAUCCUAGGGAACACAUUCAAAAUGCACUGUGUACUGGAUUCUCAAUGUUCAUUUUACAGUUUGACAAGAGAAUCUUUCCUUCACUUUCACUUGCACGAUCUUUUUUUUAUCUUCUUUUUUUUUCAAAACUUACAAUCUUUUUUUUUCCCAGAUCUUUUUUCACUGUGUACCCAUUAUUUGUUUGGUUUACGAUGCUUUUUUUUUAAUACCUUAUAAGUGCCAAAAUUACCAACACCAUCAAUAGCAUAAUUUUUUUGCCUUAAUUUUAACUGCAAAACAGCUACCUUACCGCCCCAGCAAACGAGAACGAAAAAGCUCACCAAGAUGCUCUCUUUGAAAAGAUUCUCAAUGAGUCACUGACAUUUACUCUCAUUGUUUAAAAAAGUUAGGGUAAAGUUGAAAGAUAAAAUUAAAAAAAAAAUUAUUGAUUAAAAAAACAUUAUUAUAAUGAAUAGUUCUUUUAUGAUGAGGGGUAUUGUAAAAUCCUCUCCUCUUUUGGUGUCUACUAGUUAUGUGAAUUGUGCUUCACUUCAGGUCAAGUAUUUUUAAUUUUUUAUAAAAAAGGUUGUAUAUGCAGAUUUUUUCAACGUAUUUUUGUACUUUAAAAAAUUUAAGUGUAUAUCAAAAAAUUUAUGCACACAUUUAAUCAAAUAAAUUGAGAAUUAUAUAUGUUAAUAAACAAAUAAAUAAUCAUUAACGACACCUAAAAAUAAAACUUAAAAAAUUGAGAGACAAAUAUAGAUCAAUAUAUUUAAUUUCGCAAAAUAAGAUAUUUACCCGAUCAUGUUUGCUAAAUUUUUUAUUAAAAAAAUUUCUAAUUUAAUCAAAUGAUAAUAAAAUAGAUAAACAUAUUAAAUUGAUUGAAUAAAAUAAAAAGAAAAUAUGAAUAAUAUGCAAGGCUACACAUAUUAGAAAUAUCAUAUAAAAUAAAUAUUUUUUAUUUUCAAAAAUAUAGUUCACCUAUGCAAAAGAUAAAAAAAUUAUAGAUAGAUUAGAAAAAACCUCUUUAAAAAUUAAACAUAUAAUCAAAAAAAUCACCAUUAUUUAGAAGAGGUUAUCUAAACAAAAUAAAAAAGAAAGAAAGGGUGGAUAGUGAUCUACCGUGGAGCGCAAGAGAAAAUUAAUUUGAGGUUAUUAUCAAUGAAGUUUAGGCAAUGGCGCAAAUUAAGGUCAAAUUGGAUGUUUUGCACUUUGGAUAAUGAUAUUAAUUUUUGGUGUUUGGUGAUAGAUUUCUUGUUGUGAAAUAGUUAUGGUAAAAUUUAAGAUAAAUCCUAGUGAACACGUCUUGUUGUGAAAUAGUUAUGAUAGACUCUCAAUGUUCAUUUUAGAGUUCCACAAGAGAAUCUUUCCGUCACUUUCACUUACUGCAAAACAGAGCUAUCAAUUUAAAAAUAUAUAAUUGCUCAAAUCAAGAAAUCAAUCUCAAUAAAUAAUAAUGUUUUAUGGCAACAACAGAUAAUAAAUAUUAUAUAAAUUACUAAGAAGUACUAUCAAUUUAAUAUUAAUAAUUUGAAUAUUUAUACUACUCCUCUGCAGCAUAUGAGAUAGUAAGUGAUAGAAUGGUCCCACUCCCCAUGUUAUGGUUUAUAUUUUGCUUUAAACAGAGUAUAGUUGUACUAAAAAUACACCCCUUUCCCGAAAGGAAGGGGAAGAACACAAUCAAGGGAUUUCUUGUUGUUUGACUUCUCAUGUUUCUCUCCCACCACGGGCAACUGUUUAUUUUCGCCAAGGUGAAUUGAGGCUUCAAGUAGAAGAAAUUAUUUACUGGUUAGAAACUUGGUCGAUUUCACUGUUGUCUUUGAGACAAAUGAAACUGAGGUUUUUGGUUUGCAAUUUGGGCAGAUAAGGAUAAUCCUUAUUGUUUGGUGUUUGAGAAUUUAAUUGGUGCUAAAUUUCUUGUUGUAAAUUGCAGAAAAUAGUCAGGGUAAAAAUUUAAGAUGAAUGCUAGGGAACACAUCUUCCCAAAAUGCACUGGGUUCUGGAUUCUCAAUGAAUGUUCAUCUUACAGUUUGACAAGAGAAUCUUUCCUUCGCUUGCACUAUCUUUUUGUUUGUUUGCCCGAUGCAUGAUUUUUUUACCAAAUAAGGAUAAUCCUCAUUUUUCCUUGAUAAAUUCUAACUACAAAACAGCUACUUCACCAACAAGAUGGAAAAGGCUCGCCAAGAUGUUCUCUUUGAAAAGAUUCUCAGUGAGUCGUUGACAUCUCAUUUUUGGAAUUUCUCCAAUAGCUUGAUGUCUACUCUCACUAUAUUGAGUAGGAUGACUGUAUAGAAUUACUCUGAUUUAUCAACACAUAUCAAAUUCUUGCUGCUGCUGAGGAAGAUAUCUGCACUUAGCCAUCAUAGAGGGUAGCGAAUUUUGUGUUGAUGGAAAUUACACUGACUCAUUGUGUACCAUCUAGAAUUCAAUUUUAAAAAAUAUUGCAAGAAAUGAUGUUUUUUCCUAAAUACAUCAUUCGGGUGUGGAUAGCUUGAUUAAAAUGCGACUCACUAAAAAGUCUUGGUCUUAAUAUGCAAAGAUGAUCCUAGUAUACCAUAUUUCUUUUAAAAUAAAACCCACAGAUCUAGUCCACGCAAAGGUACUGGAAUAUGGAUUUGUAAAAAAUAAAAAUGAAAAUUUAUACGAAAUUGAAUUGUGCUAAAAAAACCCACAGAUCUAGUCCAUGAUCUACGGCUCCUCCAGAGUUCCGUAGUGGUGUCUUUCUCAACUAUUCUUUAAAUAAAAUGUUUGGGAUGUGAGAAAUCUUGUGCCUAUCUUCACCCCUCCCCUCCUUCCCGUAACGUUUCCUUAGAGAAUUUAUGUAGAGGCGCUGUCAAAACAUAGGCCGGUAGUGCUCUCAACAAUGGGCAUUUGAGAAUUCUAAACUCAACAAGUUGUGGCAUGAUGAAUAUUGAAGUCAUGGUGGAAUCUUCUUCUCCCACUCUCCUUUCAAUCCCAUCCCACUCCUCUAGUUCUUUGAGAUGCCAUAUGCUAAGUUUUUUCAAUUUGGGGAAAGCAGGGACUCUUGCAAUUUCUCCUUCAUUAAUAUUGGUAUUGCCAACAUUUUCUUUGCCUAAAAAUCCACCAUCCAACCUUCUCAGCUUCAUGCUCAUCCAUCUGAAAAUCUUGGAAGAAACAACGUGCUACUAAGACUUGAAAAUACUCCUCUCCAACAAGCUCCAUACCUCUACUUGGAGUCUCCUUAAGAUAACCUUGAGCCAUCCACAUCUUCACCAACUGGUCUUUUUCCAUCUCGUAGUCUUUUGGAAACACCGUCUUGCCACAGAAGGUAAAUCGUAGUAACUCAAAAGCUGAGGUGGAAAUAGUGCUAUUUCAACAUGUUCUAACUCCCACAGUUCGCUAGAUAAAACAUGUUCCCACUCUUCUCUUGUUCUUUUACACUGCACUAGACCUCCUAAUACCUUGGCAGCUGGAGACAAGCCCUUGCACUUGCUUGCAAUUUUGCCGCCUAUUUCUGUCAAUCUUUCGCGCUCAUCUUUGAGUUUUUUUUAUUGGAAUGCCACCUGAUUGAAUAUUGACAUCCAUACCUCAUCAGAUACUCUCUCAAGGUUGAUCCAGUGGUCCGUUCCCAUCAUUGUUGCUAUAGCAUGUUUACGAGUGGUCACUAGAAUUCUGCUUCCAGGUGCACCGCCUUUGAGAGAUAGUUUCAGUGGUUCCCAUUGUCCAUGACUUUCUGUCCAUACAUCAUCAAGGACAAGAAGGAACUUCUUUCCCUUCAUUGAUUCAGAAACACUUUGCAAAAGGGAUUCCAAUUAAACUAAACACUUUCCCUCAAGGAUAGCUUUUGCUAUUCUAACCUUAUCAAAUGGAUCUGAUACACACACCCAUAUCUUUUUCUCAAAAUGAGCCGUAACCUCAGCAUCAUCAAAAGCUAGUUGGGCGAGAGUUGUCUUUCCAAUCCCGCCCAUCCCUACUAUAGAGAUGACCUCCACGUCCCCUGCUUCCUGAAUACUUUCGCCCAGCAACUUGCUUACUAAAGCUUCCCUUUCCUCAUCUCGACCACUCACGAUUGAUUCAUCAACAAGGGAGGUACUUGUUAUUCGUUAGAGUUCAUCAGUGGCUCUGUACAGCUCAAAGCCAAACAUUGCUCUCUCUUUGGCAAUCUCAUCCACUUUCUCACAUACUUCUUUGAUCUUGAGGGCAAUGUCGCGACGUCGAGCCACUUGAGUGAGACAAAAGCAAGGAGAUCCCAGGAAGGAACAUCGUAUCUGCUGUAGGCUGUGAUUAUUUUCUUCAGCAUCCCUCAUUUUUCAUGUAAGAAUUGCAGAGCUCCAUUCAUCUAGCACAUCAUCGAUAUCAUAGCAUACAUCUUUGAGCUUGUCUAGCCAAUCUCUUGCAACCUUAUCCUUCACUUGCUUUCUAUCUGCAUCUUCAAGGACAGAUUGGAUAGCAAGGAGAUUGCUUUUCAGCUUGUCGACUUGUUUCUGCACACCCCCUACUAGGUUCACCUCUUCCUGUACCUAUUGGUGUAGAAAAGAUAAGAAAGUUGAAGCAGAGGAAACAUUUCUAUGAUUUCUUUACAAGUUUUUAAUUUUAAUUUUUGGUAAUGAAUAGAUUAGCAGUAGUUGACACGUACUGCGAAAUGGAUUGGCUAUAUUAAUAAUUUAUACAUAAAAUAUUUAUUAAAAACCUAUAUAUUAAAAAUAAUAAUAUUUCUUUUUUGUUAUCAUCAUGAUGAUACCUGUCUGCACUCUUCCACUACAAAGAAAUAUAUAAAAGGAAUAAAAGGAAAGUGAAUAAAAGGAUCUGUAUUUGUUGGUAUUUGUAAAGUCCAUUGACAACUCAUUCUUUUUCCUUCUAAAGAUGUUUGAUUUGAGUAUUUGAGAUUUUAUUUUGUUUUUCUUAAAGGGAAGAAAAAAAGACUUCAUUUUUAUGUUUCUUAUUCAUGGUAGGUUAAUUAGGUCAUUGCAAAUUGUAUAAAAGCAAGUACCUGUUGAGCAACGAUCCUCGUUAACUGCUCCAAAAUUGGUGAUAAAAGUGCCUCUGCCAUUUGCCUGUUUAGUUUAAUUUUAUUUUAUUUUUAAAAAAGAGACAAUGAUGAGAGGAUGAACUGAGAGAGAGAGAGAGAAGAGAGUGUGAGGGGAAGGAGGCUGCUGGUUGUGAAAUGAAGAGAGAGGGUUAGUUUAUGUACUUGGGCCUUGGGGUUUGCUGAUGAGGGUUAAAGUUUUUUUUAGUCCCUGUAUGAUUUUUAACAUUUCAAUUUAGCCCCUAUAUUAUUGGACUUCUCAGUCUAGUCUCGGUCAGGGGUUACAUACUGAAAUGUAUCUGAUAUGGACACUGAUUAUAGCAUUAUACUGAAAUCCUUUCUUCUUCUUCUUCUUCUUUUUUUUUUUUUUUCACUCCUUUAUUAACGUGAUUUAAGGCACUUCUUUCGUUGUCUUUUUCUACUUUUUCAUAAUUUAAGGUACUUCUUUCUUGUUUUAGCUAGAAACAUAAUGCAAGACAAUUAGAAAAACAAAGGAAGAGUGUUUUCAAGAUUCAGGAAUCCGAGAGUGAAGAGCUGACAUGCAGAUGCAGGAACAUAGGAAGAGAGUUGUUUGGUUAUUAAAAUAAGGGCUAAGGUUAUGAAAUCUGGAAAUUGAAAGUCAGAUCUAAAUUACAGAGGAAAUCAGCUAACACCACCGGCGAAGUGAAUUCUUGCAUGACAGCAGCAGUUUCCCUCACAAGUUGUCUGACAGGAAUUGGUUCCUACAACCAUAAAAAUUCACAAGUUAGAACCUUCACGAUUUAACUCUUGGAUUUCACGCUAGAUUCAGCAGCGGUUGGGGUCAGAAUGACAUUGUUGGGAAGAAGACAACUAACAACAAGUCUUGUGAUACAGACAACCUCAAUAAGUACUUUCCAGAUGUAUUAUCUUAACCAGGUCAUCAAGCAUUAGAGGAAUUAUGUACAUGAGUUUGUUUAGAGACAUCAAAAGGAUGCCCAUACACCAUUCAUAAGAUAAGCCAUGGAAAUUUAACAACCUUAUCACUUAUCAGUGAAAUUAAAAGAAGAGCUGAAGAACAAACGUGGAGUUUUAUAUAACUAUAUUAUUUGAUAGUUUUAUCUAUAUUUAUCUAAUAUUUUAAAUAUGUUUUAUAUAUAAAAUAUCUUGAUAUUUUUUGUUUUAUAUCUUGAUAUUUUUUGUUUUAUAUUUUAAAAACACUUUUGAAUAUAAAAUUAAAAAAGAAGUAAAUUGAAGAUAAUUAACAGAUUUGAUCUCCAAUCAAUGAGAUUCAACUCUAGAAGUCGAAACGAAGUGAUUUCAAGGGCAUUAAAAAUCCAACAUCCAUACCUUUCUAUAUAUAUACGGCAAAAAAAAUAAAAAGAGAAAGAGCAUCGAGAUCGCAGCUUUCAAAGACAAAUCUGGCAUUUUAUCAGUGUUGAUCUUUGAUCAUUCUAACUUGAAUAUCUUGAGUUAGAGAAGUUUAUUUGAUGCAAACUCAAUUUUAUUGGAUUCCUGACUCAAAGAUCUAUCAUCAUACCAAAGUUCAGCAUAAAAAGAGCUCAUAUGAGAGAAAUAUAAUUUUUUCUAAGAUGCCACAUGAAUUCUACCAGUAGACAAGUUUUAUGAAGAAAUAAGUACAAAUUAAAUCCCAAAGCAUUCAAACCGACAUCCAAAUCUUUAUUUCGGCAAUUUAACUUCUCAAAGUCAAAAGUCAAAACUUGAAGAAAUUAUGCAAUACAAACACAAUUCUAAACAAAUAUAAUUUCAAAAUUUAAAAUAUUUCUAAGUAGUCAAAAUAGAUUUUUAACUUAAAGUAAUUCAAUUUAAACAAAAUAUCAAAAUAUUUUGAAAGUAAAAUAUUUUAACAAAAAUAUUUUAAAUAUAAAGUUAGGUCAAUGUUAUCAAGGCUAAUGGAAUCUAAAGUAUCCCUUAUUUUGCUCAAAUUCCUACAAAGUAUAAACAUAUAUAUAUAUAUAUAUAUAAACAUGAAUAUAAACCAUAUAUAUUAGUGAUAAAUCCAAUUUUAAAAAAUUAAUAUCAUUGUUAAUAAAAUAGUAAUAAUAAUUUUCAAUAUUAUUAUUAAUAUCAUUGUUAUUGAAAAUAGUAAUGAAAAAAAGCUUUUUAUUAUUAGGCAGUUUAAUUAAUUAAAUUGAACAAGGUUCAAUUUAAUUCAAUGACUUUUUAAGAACGGAACAUAACAUGUGGAAUGAAACCGGAACGUUCCGGGCGGAAUUUAGCUGAAAAAUCCGGAACGGACCGAGAUUUAAAAUGAGAUGAAAUUUGUUCCGUUUUGUUCUGUUUUUUGAAUUGGUAUGAAAUGUUUCGGCCCUGAUGAAACGAAAUGGAAUUGACAAUCUUGCUUCUAGAGAUAUCUUUAAGAGAGAGAGAGAGAGAGAUUACAAGUCAACAAUAAAUGAUUACAAAUGAUUUCAAUCCAAUUACAGUAAAGAGGUAUAUGAAACAUUAGGUGCAUAAACACAACAUUGAAUGAAAUCCUCCACGUAAACACCAAAGCAAACAAUUAAUACACUCAGAAUCAAAACGGAAGCCACUCUGUAGUAGCUCUUUAGUAUCUUCAAAGCCCAAGCUGUCAAACACACACCAAAAGCAUACGUGUCAUCACCAAAACAAUCCAAUGGAUGCCCUUCGAUUUGAUUCCAAAAAUAUUAUAACUUGGAAAAUCUUCAGAUGCACAUGUUAAAUAUAUCAUGUAAUGGUAAACAAGAAUUAGUAAAUAAAAAACAAAGUUAAUUAAUUUGUAUCUUUCUCCUCAUCCACUAACUCUUGCUUCUUUUUUUCCCAUGAAAAAACGGAGAGCCGAAAAUAGAUUUGUUAAAAAUUAAAAUUAUAAUCUCUACGCUAAUAAUUAUAAUAGUAAAAUCUUUUACAGUUAAGAAGUAACACUGGUAGUAGAAUUUACCUGUUAAUUCCUGUCGGUCCUACAGACUUCCGUAGAGGUCUUAACUAUAAAUAGAAAUGUUUGGGAUGCGAGAAAUCUUUUGCCAAUCUUCACCCAUCUCCUCCUUCCCGUAACGUUUCCUUAGAUUGCGGCAACCACUUAUGUCCAAUCCUGUAGAGGCGCUGCCAAAACAUAGUCUGGUAGUGCUCUCAACAACGGGCAAUAUCAAUAUCAACUCUCGAAGUUGUGGCAUAAUGGAUAUUAUUGAAGUUGUGUUGGCAUCUUCUUCUCCCACUCUCCUUCAAUUCCAUCCCACUCUUCUACUUCUUGAGAUCCAAAUAUAAGUUUUUUAAUUUGGGGAAAGCAGUGACCCUUGCAAUUUCUCCUUCAUUAAUACUGGCAUUCUCAUCUUUUUCUAUACCUAAAAAUCCAGCAUCCAGCCUUCUCACCUUCACCCAUCAAUACCAGGCUUUCAAGGUUGGGCAAUCUUCCCAACGGAGGCAAGACCUCCACGUUUUCACAAUCACAGUUAAGCCCUGUAAUCUGGUUAAUGUCAUCAUCCAAUUUGGCAAUCCAACCCUCCGUACUAUAUGGUUAGAUUUCCAAGUCUGACGGAGGCUGUAAAGCUUCAAUUAAAGAGCCUUCAUUCGCUUGCAACUCUGUUAUCUCUCUGUCGAAAAACAAUCCCAAACAACGCAGGCGUUUCUUAUUCUUGAGUUGUGCUUCUGCAGCGUCACUCGCAUCUUCUUUACCGACUCCUAGAUUCUGUAUCUGAAGACUACCUCCAAUGUGAUUUAAGUUUUUUAAUUCUCUCAGAUUAGCUGCUUUACUUCCAUUCUCACCACCACCACACACAGUAAACCGAUCUAAUGUUCGAAGACAUGUUAUCCUCUCUAUUCCCUUUGGUAUGAAGGCCACUUCUGAACCAUAAAUCCGGAGAUGCCUCAAUUUGAUAAGUUUUCCAAUAGCCUUGGGCAAUUCCUUGAGAGACCGACACCAAGUAACAUCUAGGGAUUGCAGAUUGCAUAAAUCACACAUGGUUUCUGGCAGGGAUUCCAACUGAAAACAAGAUGCCAGAUUGAGGUGUCUCAAAUGUAUCAAUUUCCCUACCUCGUUUGGUAUUUCUUUGAUUGAAGACCCUGACAAAUUCAAUGACCUGAUGCAUGUCAACUGCUUGAACAAAUCAGGCAGUGCAGCUCCAAGCGAAGGGUCUCUAGUGUCGAACAAUAGGCUGCGAAGACCUUUUGCUUUGUGAAUGGACACGGGAAAAGAGGUCUCCUCUGACAGCAUCAUGCUUAAAUGACGAACCCUUUCAAUUGAAGUCUCCACUGUUGCUUCUCCAAGUGUAUUGACAUCCACUGUUAGACAUUCAUUUUUUGUCAUAUAUUGGGCAAAAUCAUGCACUAUAUCAUGCAUCUUGAAUCUAAUAUGUUCUCGAUCAUACGUCUUAAAAUCUUGGAAGAAAGAGCGCGCUGCCAAGACUUGAAAGUAAUCCUCCCCAACAAGCUCCAUGUCUCUACUUGUAGUCUCCUUAAGGUAACCUUGAGCCAUCCACAUCUUCACCAAUUCAUCUUUUCAUCGUAGUCUUUUGGAAACAUGGCACAAUACAAGAAACAUCGUCUUACCACAGAAGGUAAAUCGUAGUAACUCAAAAGCAAAGGUAAAAUAGUCCCUCUUUCAACAUGUUCUAGCUCCCACAUUCGCUAGAUAAAACACGUUCCCACUCUUCUCUUGUUCUUUUAGACUGCAUUAGACCUCCUAAUACCUUGGCAGCUAGAGGCAAGCCCUUGCACUUGCUUGCAAUUUUAUCGCCGAUAUCUGUCAAUCUUUCGCGCUCAUCUUGCUUCUUUCCUGGAAUGCCACUGAUUGAAUAUUGACCUGCAUACCUCAUCAGACAAUUUCUCAAUGUUGAUCCGGUGGUCAGUUCCCAUCAUCGUUGCCACAGAAUGUUUACGAGUGGUCACUAGAAUUCUGCUUCCUCGUGCACAGCCUGUGAGAGAUGGUUUCAGUUGUUCCCAUUGUCCAUGAUUUUCUGUCCAGACAUCAUCAAGGACAAGAAGGAACCUCUUUCCCUUAAUGGAUUCAGAAACCCUUGCAAAAGGGAUUGCAAUUCAACCAAAUCGGCCCUCCCUUCAAGCUGCUCAAGGAUAGCUUUGGCUAUUCUAACCUCAUCAAAUGGUUCUGAAACACACACCCAUAUCUUUUUCUCAAAAUGAGCCGUAACCUCAGCAUCAUUAAAAGCUAGUUGGGCGAGAGUUGUUUUUCCAAUUCCGCCCAGCCCUACUAGAGAGAUGACAUCCACGUCCCGUGCUUCCUGACUACUUUCGCCAGCAACUUGCUUACAGCUUCCUUUUCACAUCUCGACCAUCACGCUUGAUUCAUCAACAAAGGAGGUACUUGUUAUUCGUUGGAGUUCAUCAGUGGCUUGUACAGAUCAAAGCCAUACAUAGCUCUCUCUUUGGCAAUCUCCACUUUUUCACAUACUUCUUUGAUCUUGAGGGCAAUGUCUCGACGUCGAACCACUUGAUUGAAACAAAAGCAAGGAGAUCUCAGGAAGGAACACCGUAUCUUCUGUCGGCUGUGAGUAUUUUCUUCAGAAUCCCCCAUUUUCCAUGUAAGAAUUGCAGAGCUCCAUUCAUCUAGCACGUCAUCCAUAUCAUAGCAUACAUCUUUGAGCUUGUCUACCCAAUCCCUUACAGCCUUAUCCUUCACUUGUUUUCUAUCUGCAUUUUCUCUAAAAUAAAAUGACUCGUAAAUAAUGUAAUGCUAAUGCCACUAUUAUUGUACUUAAAUUUACUAGAUGAGUGAAUUAAAAUAUAUUUUAUUUGAAUAUAGGAUUUCUUUAGAUAAAAGAAUUCAUAGAUAUUAUAAUAAUCAUAUAAUUAUGUAGCGCAAUACAUUGCAAUUUCACAAUAUUAUUAUGUGACUUUUAAUAGUUAUGCAUAGUCUAUUUUUAAAAAAAAUCUGUGAGGUUGAUCAAAAUAAAAAAGAAAUAUUAGAAUUUCUAUAAUCAUGUUUGUGAUCGAAUAUUUGACUAUAUUUAUUUUAAUCAUUUUAUCAUAAUAAUUUUAUUACAAAUAUAGUUAUUUAUGCAUUCAAAUAUGAUAAGGAAUUGUGAAAAAGGGAAUUUACUACUAUUUUACUAUAUUGAUUUGUUCUAACCAGCCAUCACAAUAACCAUAUUUUGUAUAGCACAAAAGAUAUAAAGAAAAAGAAAGAUAAUCGUAAGAACCCGCUAUCUAGUAAAAUAAUAUAUAUAUAUAUAUAUAUAUAUAUAUAUAUAUAUAAAUCAAGGUACUGAAUUAACUAAUUUUAACAGAUAUUCUAUAAGAUAAUGAAAUCAAUGUAUAAUGAACUAUAAAUGUAGAAAAGUAAUUAAGUACCUGUUGAUUAUAAAAGAAAGAAAGGAAACAAAAAAGAGUACCUGUAGAGUAACGAUCGUGGUUAACUGGUCCAAAAUCGGGGAUACAAGUGCGUCAGCCAUUGUUGUUCUUACUACUGAAUGUGUCAAGAAAAAGGAGAGAAAGUAAUGGGGCGUUGUUGACUGAUGAAAUGAGAAGUUGAUGAAGAUAGGAAGGAUAGUGAUCGACUGUGGAGUGCCAGAGAAAAUUAAUUUGAGGUUAUUUUCAAUGAAGUUUAGGCAAUAUAUACUGCAAAUUAAGAUAAUUUGCUUAAGACUGAUGCAAGGUUGAUGCAAGCAAAGAAUGAUUCUGAACUUCAGCAUAAAGCAGCUAAUUUCCUACAAGGUUGAUGCAAGCAAAGAAUGUCACUGAAACAACGAGAAAAUAUGCGUAAGAAGGAAAAGGAAAAGGCAAAGGUAAGUCUAGAACUAGCCAUUGCUUCACUUUGGGUUCAAGUAUAAUGCAUCAGUCAUCAGUCAUUUUCCUAUUUGUAUGUUUAUAUGGAAAUGACCUGUCGUUUUGAGUUCCAAAAGUGAAAGGCCCAUUUUUUUGCCUUAAUUUUAAAACAAAUAAAUAAUCAUUAACAUACCUAAAAAUAAAAUUUAAAAAUUAAAAGAUAAAUAUAGAUCAAGAUAUUUAAUUUUACAAGAUGAGACAUUUAUCUAUUUGCUAAAUUUUUUUAUUAAUUUUUUUUAAUUUAAUCAAACAAUAAUAAAAAUAAACAAAUAUAUUAAAUUGAUUGAAUAAAAUAAAAAGAAAACAGGAAUAAUAUGCAAGGCUACACAUAUUAGAAAUAUCAUCUAAAAAAAUUGAUUGAAUAAAAUAAAAAGAAAACAGGAAUAAUAUGUAAGGCUACACAUAUUAGAAAUAUCAUCUAAAAAUAAAUAUUUUUUAUUUUUAAAAAUACAGUUCAUCUAUACAAAAGACAAAAAAAAUUAUAAAUAAAUCAGAAAAAUCUCUUUAAAAAUUAAACAUAUAACAAAAAAAUCAAUAUUAUUUAAAAGAUACUGUCUGAACAAAAUUCUACUGUGGAGCGCAAGAGAAAAUUAAUUUGAGGUUGUUCUCAAUGAAGUUUAGGCAUUGAGAACAAAGAUCAAAUUGGAUGUUUUGCACUUUGGAGUUUGGAUAAUGAUAUUGUAAUGUUUUGAAUUAAUGAGAUAGGAAAAGCCUAGAAACCCCUUGAAGGCUUAGAUGUAGGAAUAAAUUAAAUGAGGGGUAUAGUAGUAAUUGGAUAAAUAGUUGAUAAAUAUAAAUAGGAAGUAAAAAAAUAAAAUAAAUAUAGAAAUCUGAUUUUGAGAGGAAGAGAAUCGGCAGAAGUGAGAAAGGAAAGAAGAAGAAGAGAAAAGAGGGGAAAAUAAGGGGAAAAAGGAAGAGAAUUGGAGGAAAUAAGUGAAAAAGGUAAGAUUUAGGUUGUUUAAUGUGUAUAAUAUGUUAAUUAAGUUUUAAUUUCAGUUUUAUGAAUGUUAGGGUUUUGAGAAUUUGUGUUCGAUUUAAAUGAUGAAUUAAAUUGAAGGUUAGGGGUGAUUGUUGUUGUUUAAUUGAUGAUUUAGUUGAUUAUGGAAGAUUAUGAUGAUUUGAGUUAUAGAAUUGUGUAAAUGGUGAAAAUUGAGUUAGAAAUCAGGGAGAACAGUGGGGUUUCUGUUAAAAUCUGGACUGGAGGUUGAAGAUGACGAAAAAUUCAAUUUGGUCCCUCAAUUCAGAAAAUUACAGUUAGUCCCCGAACUUUGGAAAAUUACAAAUUGGUCCCUGGAGCAUAUUCCGAGAUUCUGAACAGAAUAACAUAUGAAUUAUGGACAUAAUUACUGUAUAGAUAAGAGAAUUUAACACUUUCAAUUUAGUCCUCCAAUUUGACAAAAAGUACAAUUUGACCCUAAAAAUUUAGUAAAAUUCCAGAAUGAUCCCUGAAGCAUAAUGAUACAUCCUGGACAGAAUUGAGGAUUAAUUAAGGUCAGAAUUUCAGUAUAUUCAUGGAUUUAUGACAAAUUUCAGUUUGGUCCUCCAAUUAGACAAAAGUUACAAUUUGGCCCUAAAAAUAUGAUAAGUUCCAGAUUAGUCCCUAGCUGUAAUAUUAGCUUUUGCAGAUUAGUUUGAUGAAUAAUUAAGGGUUAUUUAGUGAAUUAUUACCAAUUUUAUUAGUUGUUUUUAUUAUGGAUUAGAUUUCGGGAAAACCGUUAGAUUUUGGGUUUUUAAGAAAAUUGACUAGUUAGUUCAAAAACAUAUAGGGUUACGGAAUACACCCUUAGUUAAGUGUAUUAAAUAUUAAAUGUUCUUUCGAGUCGUUUUUGAAUAUGUCUCCUUUGUAUUCAGAUAAUCCUGAUAUUCUACCGGCAGGACGUCAGUAGAAUUUCCUUCGGUUUCAGCUUGUGUGUGUUGUUUGCUUUUGAGUCAGGUGAGUGGAUAAUUUUCCAUAUGCAUGAGAAAUAUUAUAAAUAUUUGAUUUGUUAAUAUGAAUUGGAUCAUGCUUCUUGAUAAUAUAUAUGCUGAUUAUUAUCCUUGAUAUGAUAAAGCAUGAUCAAUUAUUGAAUCUGAUUUCUUGAUAUGAACCAAUAUGAUUUGACUUCUGAAUUGAUAGCUCCUCAUUUGAUGGAUGUCAUGAGUUGAGCUUUGAGAUAUGAAUAUGUUUGUUUGAUUAUGAUUAUGAACCUAUGGUAUGUCAGUCAGAAUACCCAUGCUAACAGGGUAGUGUUAGUCUUUGUGCACAUCGUAUCUGAACCCUAGUUGGUCGGGGGAGUCACCAACCUGUGUGGACUGAUCAUCCCACAGUACGGAGCCUCAUGCUCAUUGCAUUUUGAUUUUCUGACGAGUUUUACCAUAUGAUAUUCUUGUUAUGGCCUAUUUGAUAAACCUUCGUAUAAGAACUAAAGCCAUACUUGUAUAUAUAUUUCUCAUUGUUAUAUUACCUCGUAUGUGUAUAUUGAAUGUUAUCUACUCACUGAGUUGUUGAACUCACCCUCUCAUUAUUUAUUCUUUUCAGGCUUAUAGCUUGAUAGCGGGUUACUUUUGUUGAACCUUCCGAACCUGCUUUUGGUUGUAAUUUGUAUCUUUCUUUUUAUGUCAAGUUAGUGCUCCAAAACUAUGAAAAAUUAUUAACUCUUGUAUUAAGACAAUUACAUUAUAUUAUGAAGUUGUUUGUUGUUAAUUAUGCGUUAAACUCUGAUUGAGUUGUUUAAAGGAUUGUAUGUAAGUUUGGGUUCGCAUAGGUUUGGAACCUUGGAGGGGAACCUUGCCUAUGUGCCGGUCAUGGAUCCGGGAUUCGGGUCAUGACAGAUAUUAAUCUUUGUUGUUUGGGGAUUAAGAAUUUGGUGAUAAAUUUCUUGUUGUGAAAUAGUUAUGGUAAAAUAUAAGAUAAAUCCUAGUGAACACGUCUUCCCAAAAUACACUGCGUGUACUGGACUCUCAAUGUUCAUUUUUGCCUCAUUUUGCCUUAAUUAAUUUUAACUGCAAAACAACUAGCUCAGUACCGCACCAGCAAACGAGAAUGGAAAAGCUCACCAAGAUGCCCUCAAAUUAAUGGAGUCAAUGGAGAAAAAAACUGGAGCUGCUGGAGGCCAGACGGCACAUGGUGGAAUAGUUCAUGCCCUGGCAUGCGUCAUCACUGUUCCACCAUGUGCCGUCGCGACCUCCAUUGAACAACAAUGAAAAACAUAUACGAAUUUAGCUUCAUGUCUUUAUAAGAGAAUUUCAUAAACAUACCAUAACAAAAAAUAUCAUAAAAUAAAUCUCUUAAAAAAUAAAAAUACAAUAAACAUGUAGGUUCAUAUUAUAAGAUAAUCAGUUUAUAUAAAUUGUUGACACCCCCAAUCAAUUAAGGAUCAAAUACGAUAUAUAUAAAUAUUAACAAUUAACAAGAUCUUAUUAGCAUGAAUAUUCUAACUAUUAUAUCAUAGGGUUAUAAUCAAACGAACAAAAUCAUUUUCUAAAAGCUCAACUCAUAUAAUUAAUUAAAUAAAAAACUAUCAAUUUAAAAAUACAUAAUUGCUCAAAUCAAGAAAUCUAUCUCAAUAAAUAAUAAUGUUUUAUAGAACAACAGAUAAUAAAUAUUAUAUAAAUUACUAAGAAGUACUAUCAAUUUAAUAUUAAUAAUUUGACUAUUUAUACUACUCCUCUGCAGCAUAUGAGAUAGUAAGUGAUAGAAUGGUCCCCAUGUUAUGGUUUAUAUUUUGCUUUAAACAGAGUAUAGUUGUACUAAAAAUACACCCCUUUCCCGAAAGGAAGGGGAAGAACACAAUCAAGGGAUUUCUUGUUGUUUGACUUCUCAUGUUUCUCUCCCACCACGGGCAACUGUUUAUUUUCGCCAAGGUGAAUUGAGGCUUCAAGUAGAAGAAAUUAUUUACUGGUUAGAAACUUGGUCGAUUUCACUGUUGUCUUUGAGACAAAUGAAACUGAGGUUUUUGGUUUGCAAUUUGGGCAGAUAAGGAUAAUCCUUAUUGUUUGGUGUUUGAGAAUUUGGUGCUAAAUUUCUUGUUGUAAAUUGCAGAAAAUAGUCAGGGUAAAAAUUUAAGAUGAAUGCUAGGGUACACAUCUUCCCAAAAUGCACUGGGUUCUGGAUUCUCAAUGUUCAUCUUGCAGUUUGACAAGAGAAUCUUUCCUUCACUUACACUAUCUUUUUGUUUGUUUGGCCGAUGCAUGAUUUUUUUACCUCAUUUUUCCUUGAUAAAUUCUAACUACAAAACAGCUACUUCACCAACAAGAUGGAAAAGGCUCACCAAGAUGUUCUCUUUGAAAAGAUUCUCAGUGAGUCGUUGACAUCUCAUUUUUGGAAUUUCUCCAAUAGCUUGAUGUCUACUCUCACUAUAUUGAGUAGGAUGACUAUAGAAUUACUCUGAUUUAUCAACACAUAUCAAAUUCUUGCUGCUGCUGAGGAAGAUAUCUGCACUUAGCCAUCAUAGAGGGUAGCGAAUUUUGUGUUGAUGGAAAUUACACUGACUCAUUGUGUACCAUCUAGAAUUCAAUUUUAAAAAAAAUUGCAAGAAAUGUUGUUUUUUCCUAAAUACAUCAAUCGGGUGUGGAUAGCUUGAUUAAAAUGCGACUUACUAAAAAGUCUUGGUCUUAAUAUGCAAAGAUGAUCCAAGUAUACCAUAUUUCUUUUAAAAUAAAACCCACAGAUCUAGUCCACGCAAAGGUACUGGAAUAUGGAUUUGUAAAAAUAAAAAUGAAAAUUUAUACGAAAUUGAAUUGUGCUAAAAAAACCCACAGAUCUAGUCCAUGAUCUACGGCUCCUCCAGAGUUCCGUAGUGGUGUCUUUCUCAACUAUUCUUUAAAUAAAAUGUGUGGGAUGUGAGAAAUCUUGUGCCUAUCUUCACCCCUCUCCUCCUUCCCGUAACGUUUCCUUAGAGAAUUUAUGUAGAGGCGCUGUCAAAACAUAGUCCGGUAGUGCUCUCAACAAUGGGCAUUUGAGAAUUCUAAACUCAACAAGUUGUGGCAUGAUGAAUAUUGAAGUCGUGGUGGAAUCUUCUUCUCCCACUCUCCUUUCAAUCCCAUCCCACUCCUCUAGUUCUUUGAGAUGCCAUAUGCUAAGUCUUUUCAAUUUGGGGAAAGCAGCGACUCUUGCAAUUUCUCCUUCAUUAAUAUUGGUAUUGCCACCAUUUUCUAUGCCUAAAAAUCCACCAUCCAACCUUCUCAGCUUCAUGCUCAUCCAUCUGAAAAUCUUGGAAGAAAGAACGUGCUACUAAGACUUGAAAAUACUCCUCUCCAACAAGCUCCAUACCUCUACUUGGAGUCUCCUUAAGAUAACCUUGAGCCAUCCACAUCUUCACCAACUGGUCUUUUUCCAUCUCGUAGUCUUUUGGAAACACCGUCUUGCCACAGAAGGUAAAUCGUAGUAACUCAAAAGCGGAGGUGGAAAUAGUGCUAUUUCAACAUGUUCUAGCUCCCACAGUUCGCUAGAUA